rnacentral:rRNA from 1 species
CAGCAGCCGCGGGAAUACGUAGGUGGCAAGCGUUGUCCGGAAUUAUUGGGCGUAAAGGGCUCGCAGGCGGUUUCUUAAGUCUGAUGUGAAAGCCCCCGGCUCAACCGGGGAGGGUCAUUGGAAACUGGGAAACUUGAGUGCAGAAGAGGAGAGUGGAAUUCCACGCGUAGCGGUGAAAUGCGUAGAGAUGUGGAGGAACACCAGUGGCGAAGGCGACUCUCUGGUCUGUAACUGACGCUGAGGAGCGAAAGCGUGGGGAGCGAACAGGAUUAGAUACCCCUGUAGUCCCUGUCUCUUAUAC